GUGGGGGUGCCGGAGUGGUCAAACGGGACAGGCUUAGGACCUGUUGGCUUAGGCCUACUGGGGUUCGAAUCCUCACCCCCACA
rnacentral:tRNA from 1 species